rnacentral:rRNA from 1 species
GACGAACGCUGGCGGCGUGCUUAACACAUGCAAGUCGAACGGAAAGGCCCUGCUCUUGUGUGGUUCUCGUUUGGCGAGCGGGGGAGUAACACGUGUGUAUCCUGCCCUUGUCUGUGGGAGAACUCUAGGAAACUGGGGCUAAUAUCGGAGAGGAGCUCCUGCUGCAUGGUGGGGGUUGGAAAGUGUCGGCGGUUGUGGAUGGACUCGCGGCUUAUGAGCUUGUUGGUGGGGUAGUGACGUACCAAGGUUUUGAAGGGUAGGCGGCCUGAGAGGGUGACCGGCCACAUUGGUACUGAGAGACGGCCCAGAAUGCUACGGGCGGCAGCAGUGGGGAAUCUUGCACAACGGGCGGAAGCCUGAUGUAGCAACGCCGCGUGCGGGAUGCCGGCCUUCGGGUUGUAAACCGCUUUCGACUGUGACGAAGCGUGAGUGACGGUACUGGGUAAAGAAGCACCGGCUAACUACGUG